rnacentral:rRNA from 1 species
UACGAAGGGGGCUAGCGUUGUUCGGAAUUACUGGGCGUAAAGCGCGCGCAGGCGGUCUUCCAAGUCAGUGGUGAAAGCCCGGAGCUCAACUCCGGAAUUGCCUUUAAGACUGCAUCGCUAGAAUUGUGGAGAGGUAAGUGGAAUUCCGAGUGUAGAGGUGAAAUUCGUAGAUAUUCGGAAGAACACCAGUGGCGGAAGGCGACUUACUGGACACAUAUUGACGCUGAGGUGCGAAAGCGUGGGGAGCAAACAGG